CUGCAACAGGGACACACAAGCCUGUAAGGUCAGCUUUGAGACAUCCAGACCCCGAACACUACAGUUGACUUUGCCCUGUUUAGGAAACCCUAGGACAAACUCUCCGCUCCUUCGCCCGCCCCUGCCCGACAUGUCCCGGGGCCUCACUCGGGUCAGCCAGCGGACUCCGCUCAAUGCCGCCAUGUUUCCCGCAGGAAGUCGCGUGGGAAGUGACGCCUGAAGCUGGCGCGGCCCCGUACCCCGACUUCCGGCCUGUACUGAGUUCCUGGUAUUUCUCUCUCUGCGCCAACCAGCACUGCUUGCUCACGCCUGUUUCUCCUUUUCCUUGCCGGUGGGGAGGUCAUGGGAUGCGCAAGCACUUUGUCUCUUGCUUUGUUUUCAGUCGCCAUAUUUAAUCUACGUCGAAACUUCAAAAUAACAUUAGGGGGAAAAAUGUAGCGUCAUGUUUAUCAGACGAGGACCUGAGCUUAACAAGCGAUUGAGAGAAAAUCCUUGGGAAGCUGUUAAAAUUUGUGUGUCAAUGCGUUUGUUAUUCUUUUAACCAGUACUCACUGAAUACCUGUAUGUCAGGCUCUCGAGGAAUACAGUACAGACAUGGGAGUGGAGACGGGGUUUCACCGUGGUCUCGAUCUCCUGACGUCGUGAUCCGCCCGCCUCGGCCUCCCAAAGUGCUGGGAUUACAGGCGUGAGCCACCAAGCCCGGCCUCCAGUCACGAUUUUAGGUGUGUACAAUUGACACACCUAAAGACAAACUGGUACAGGAAGAUUUGCCUCACCCGCUCUUCUGGAAGUAUGGUUUUGGAUCACCUAUCCAGAUGGACCAGAGCUCUUGUUAAAAGUGCAGGCUUGUGAGUCAUACUUCAUUUGCUGAAUCCAAAUCUCAGUGAUGGGGGCCCAGAAAAUAUAUCUCUAACAGGCUCCCCGUUAAUACACACUGAAAUUUAAGAACCACUAGCUAGGUUCUCUGUGAUAAGUUCCUCCUUCGUAUAUACCUCAACCAGCCAAAAAGGUGGCAACGCAAAGGCAUUCCCAGUGCUUCUAUUCUUGGGGAAUAUGCAUAGGCUUUGUGCCUCCUCUGCAAUCCUUUAGGUGCGACAUUCUCCUAUAUAGUAGUAGGAUGAGAAGAUUAAACUAGGUAAUGUGUAAGAGUUUUGAACAAAUGAAAAGUACUGGGUAAAUAUAGAGCUGUUAUUAUAGCUAAUAUAAUAUUAGUAUAACACACUCCUCUAUUUCCAUUCAUAUAUCCCAUGAAACCAACCAAAACCAGAGAGCACCACCGUCUUGCUCCCAUAGACUCCCUCGUCCCAGCUUCCACAUCACUAUUAAUAUUCGUCACUAUUUUUCUUCUCCAAAUAUUUCUCCUUCUGACUAAGAAAAAAAUGGAAGAUUUAUAACCUCUGCCUCCCGGGUUCAAGCGAUUUUCCUGCCUCCGCCUCCCUGGUAGCUGGGAUUACAGGCACGCGCCACCACACCCGGCUAAUUUUUGUAUUUUUAUUAGAGACAGGGUUUCACCAUGUUGGCCAGGCUGGUCUUGAGCUCCUGACCUCAGGUGAUCUGCCACCCUCAGCCUCCCAAAGUGCUGGGAUUACAGGCAUGAGCCACCGCACCCCGCCAAAUUUACUCUUUUUAAAAAACUACAUUUUCUGUUACGUCAGGAAAUGUGGGAUAAGAAAGAAGAGAGAUGUACCAUCUUAAUCCAAUCUCUGAUAAUAAUCUAAUUUUCUUGAGGGUGACUACAUCAUUUCCAUCCCUAAAUUCUGCACAGACUUGUUCCCCACCUAACACUCAAAAAAUAUCUGCUAACUGAUAAAACACUAAGUGGCCAUCACCAGGGUGAAAGGAACUGAUGGAGGUUACCAGUGGACACAGGCCAAGGAGAUGAGACCAUUAUUGUCUGAAGGCCACUGUGUUCUCCCCAUGAACUCAGCAAGCUCUCCUGGCCUUCAAGUCCCCAUGAGGGCAUCUUUGACCAAUACUGCCUGAUAAUGGAGAAAUCCUGUCAGGACCUUUGAAAAGUUUCUUAACCUAUCUCCUGGGGGAUGGGAGGGAGGUUAUACCAUCUUGUUCUCUUCUAACUGUUGUGGAGUCUCCUCUGCUUAGCACAAGAGGCUAUAAUGAUGGAUGAGCUGCCUACACUUGAGUGUUCAGUGUGAAGCUGAGUGACUUGAAUGUCUGCUUCCCAGGCCUGCAAAUCCUCCAGCACAGGAGUCCUGACUUGGGAUCUACAGAACCCCCUAGGUGUCCAUGAAUAGGAAUCAGCACUGUGAACCUGGAUGGGGGAAAAACCAAAAAUCACAUCUUUAUUCUCACUAACCUCUAACUGAAGUUUAGCAUUUCCUUUCAUUAUGAAUGCAGGUCACAGAUUACAGUGCUGCCUGUAGUACUCUUGACUUUGUCAAUCAUAAAAAGUAUAGAUAUUUUCAUACCACAUUUUAGUUGUAGUAGAUCUCUCAAAAUAUCACUUACUUUAAUCCUAUUUUUACAUUAUUUGACCCAAUGCUAGAUUGUGUUAUUUAAUGAAUUAAUAAAGCAGCAAACAUAGUAGUAUGUUACAAGGUAGCUUUUAUUCCUUUUCUCCUUUUAGAGAGAUGGUUUCAGUCUGUUCCCCAGGCUAGGGUGUGAUCACGGCUCACUGUAACCUCAAACUCCUGGGCUCAGGUGAUCCUCCCACCUCAGCCUCCCAAGUAGCUGGGACUACAGGCAUGCGCCACCAUGCCUAGCUAAUUUUUAAAUAUUUUGUAGACAUGAGGUCUUGCUAUGUCGCCCAGGCUUGUCUUAAUCAUAUUUGUCUUGUAAUUCUAUUUAUUUUAUAUACUUAAAAGUCUCUUUUUUUUUUUUUUUUUGGAGACAGAGUCGCUCUGUUGCCCAGGCUGAAGAGCAGUGGGCGAUCUCAGCUGAGUGCAAGCUCCACCUCCCGGGUUCACACCAUUCUCCUGCCUCAGCCUCCGGAGUAGCUGGGACUACAGGCGCCCGCCACCACGCCCAGCUAAUCUUUUUGUAUUUUUAGUAGAGACAGGGUUUCACCGUGUUAGCCAGGAUAGUCUCGAUCUCUUGACCUCGUGAUCCACCCGCCUCGGCCUCCCAAAGUGCUGGGAUUACAGGCAUGAGCCACUGCACCCGGCCUAAAAGCCUCUUCUAAGAAAGGUUCCACAGGCUUCACCAGCCUUCCAAAGAGGUCCGCUGCACACAAAAGUUUCAGAAUUUCUGGUGUAUUAGGCCUACUGGAUCUUUUUCUGAAACCAUGAACAAUCAAAAGAGUAAUAUAACCAAUGACAAUUCCUUGAAAAUUAACGUCUGAAAAAGCUUCUUGGGAGAAUUUGAUCUGUGAUUGAAAGGAUAAACAGAAUUACAGAGGAGAAGUGAUUACACUCAGGGAAAAUGGAAAUGUAAGCAAAGCUACUGUUUCAGAUCAACUGCCCUAGAAGCAGAGCCCAAGACAGGGAUUCUAUGCAAUUGACCUGUUGAAGGAGUGCUCUCAGGAGAAACACAUCAGAAGGUGAAUGAGCAGAAUAUGGAGGGGAAGGAGCUCAGCAAGAUGUGGCCUCAGCCAGAGUCCACCUCAGCCCCAUCUCCUGGGGAGCUCUGGAGCAUUAGUGACAACUCAAGGUUGUCAUGAUUUGAGACAAGGCUUAACAACCCUGCUUUGCCCCUGCAUGGCAUAGGCCAGGGCCAAUCCUUCAGAGAAGGGGGAAGCUUUGAGCCGUUAGUGGCAAAUACCUGAAGCAACUGGGGGAAUGGAUACACCAGCUUGCCAAGAGGACCUGGCCAAGGCAGACACUACCUUGCGGAGGUGACAGUGAACAUAGCGUGCUGACGAACAGUGAGGUGGGCAGAUAUAUUUGAGGAGAUGAGUUAUAGUGAGGAUUGGUGAGUAAGUAGGACUGGUGCAUGUUCAAGGUCCGAGAGAAACAGAGAGAGUUUUGUGAGCAAUACUAAGCACCCUGUUGAGGUUGGUGACCAUGAAGUUUAUUGUGGUGCAAUUGUGUGUGAUUUCACGGUGAGAGCAAACCAAAAGUGAGUUCAUCCAAAAGUGAUAUUUUGCUAGAGAGUGGUACAAGGGAGUUGAGAGUGUUGGCAAAAUGGGAUCAGGAGGCAAGUGAAGACAGAAGAGAUCUAAUCAACAGGCAGCUGAGGAAAGAAUCAAAGACCCCCCCAAAAUAUUCAAAGAGUAGUACUUGUGGGAGUUGUUGAGCAAGUAACAUGGGAAGAGAGGACGCUGCUUCCACCAGUGGUUUUGGAGGUGGAGUAGAUGCUGGUGAUAAUGAAGUCCCAGAUAGGAAAUGGGAGUGGAUGCCAAGGAGAUCUCAAGGACCCUGCAGAUGAGGACUCAAACCCACAAUAUUGAUGAGGCAUCCAUGUCACCAUGGGAGUCAACGAGGAUAGUGGCCUCAGCUGAGGCAGGGAAAAGCUGGGAUCCAAGUGACAUAGUCUUCUCUUGAUAAGCAAGAGAGACCAGGAGAUGAGAGAUGGCAGAGAAUGAGAGAGGUGAUAUCAGUUACCAGAAAGAGCCCCUAAAAGGCAACACUUCUUUUUUUCCAUUAGUUUUAAUAUAGAAUUUUGCUUUAGUACUUUUAAUUAGAUAACCCUCUUUUAAAAAUAUAUAUUUUUUAAAAUAUAUUUUUUUCUUACCAUACCAACUCACAGCCCCAAUCUUUUUGCCCUAACCUCAGAAUCAGUUAGUUGUCCGCUUUAAAACCCUUUUCUUACACACACACACACACACACACACAGAAUAUAUAGUAUUGUUUUUGGUGUAUGAGUGUGUGCGUCGGAAUAAAUGGUUUCAUACUCUAUAUACUUACUGUUUUAUAAUUUACCUUCUUCACUCAACACUGUAUCUCAGAUGUCUUAGAGAUCUAAGACACCAUAUCUUAGAGAAUGAGCAGCCUCAUUGUUUUAUUCCGUAAUAUGAAUUUACUAAAUUUAUUGGGCCUUUUUUUUUGAGACAGAGUCUUACUCUGUCACUCAGGCUGGAGUGCAAUGGCACAAAAUCGGCUCACUGCAAGCUCCGCCUCCUGGGUUCAAGUGAUUCUCUUGCCUCACGCCCAGAUAAUUUUUUGUAUUUUUAGUAGAGACAGGGUUUCACCAUGUUGGCCAGGCUGGUCUCAAACUCCUGACCUCAGGUGAGCCACCCGCCUCGGCCUCCCAAAGUGCUGGAAUUACAAGCAUGAGCCACCGAGCCCGGCCUGAGCCUUUCUUAAAUUGAUGAUAGUGUGGUUUCUAGUUUGGGCCAUUAUCAGCAACAUUGCUGUGUACAUAUCUUUAUAUCAGGGUGUCCAAUCUUUCAGCUUCCCUGGGCCCAUAUUGGAAGAAGAAUUGUCUUGGGCCACACAUAAAAUACACUAACACUAAUGGUAGUCGAUGAGCUAAAAAAAAAAAAAAAAAGGAAAAAAAAGCUCGUGUAUUUUACAAAAGUUUUACGGAUUCGUGUUGGGCUGCAUUCAAAGCCGUCCUGGGCCGUGGGUUGGACAAGUUUACUGUACAUCUUUCUUUGUACACACGAUGAAUGUCACAAAGAGCUCACAAAGCACCUGUACCAUGUGUAUGUUUCAGUUAUGAAUAUGUUCUGCAAUAAACAGAAAACUCAUUAAACAAAUAUGGGUUGUUUUUCCCCCCUCACCUCUGAAGGUAAGGAGUUACUGAGAAUGGUUUAGCGGCUUGGUGAUGCCCCAGGGAUCCAGGCUGUCUUCCCUUCUGCUCUGCCAGCCUUAGUGUGUUGUCUGAUGUCCUCAUCCUUGGUGCUUCAUAGUCACAAUAUGACUGCUGUUGCUCUGGACAUCACUUCUGCAUUCAGAGAUGGAAAAGAAGAAAUAACAGUCCCAGCCACAACCACUUCUUCUUAUCAGAAAUGUAAAAACAUUCCCAGAAGGUUUCUUAGGACUCACAGGCCAGAACCAAAUCCAUGACCGCUCCUACUGCAAGGAAGUCUAGGAAAGAGAGGAAUAGAUUUGCCUGAUUGGCUUAAACGAAUACUUCACAUCCUAGCUGCACAUUACAAUCACCUGGGAGCUCUAAAAAAUACCUAUCUGGGCUUCACCUCCAGAGGUUUUGAUAUAAUUGGUCUGGGAUGGGGCCUAUUCACUGCUGUUUUGAAAAGCUCCAUGGAUGACUCUAAAAACUGACCAGAGUUGAGAACCACUGGGUUCCACCAAUCAUGAUCCUUCAUCUAGGGCUGGGCAGGUGUAUAAGUGAGGAUUAUAUUCAGUUGCAAGUGACAACAUACAACAUACCAAGCCUAAACAAGAGAGGAGUUUAUUUAUUGCUCACAUAAAAGUUCAGC
rnacentral:lncRNA from 10 species